rnacentral:tRNA from 1 species
GGGGCUGAAUGGGGUACUGGUGUCCUCCGUAGUCUUCAAAACUAUCUGUGACCACCGUGUGUGGUCAGCUGGGUUCGAUUCCCAGGCAGUCCCGCCA